rnacentral:rRNA from 1 species
AAAUAGACUACCCAGGUAGUCCACGCCGUAAACGUUGGGCGCUAGAUGUGGGGGCCAUUCCACGGGUUUCCGCGUCGUAGCUAACGCAUUAAGCGCCCCGCCUGGGGGAGUACGGCCGCAAGGCUAAAACUCAAAGGAAUUGACGGGGGGCCCGCACAAGCGGCGGAGCAUGCGGAUUAAUUCGAUGCAACGCGAAGAACCUUACCAAGGCUUGACAUAUACGAGAACACUGCAGAAAUGUAGGACUCUUUGGACACUCGUAUACAGGUGGUGCAUGGUUGUCGUCAGCUCGUGUCGUGAGAUGUUGGGUUAAGUCCCGCAACGAGCGCAACCCUCGUCGCAUGUUGCCAGCACGUAAAGGUGGGAACUCAUGUGAGACUGCCGGGGUCAACUCGGAGGAAGGUGGGGAUGACGUCAAAUCAUCAUGCCCCUUAUGUCUUGGGCUUCACGCAUGCUACAAUGGCCGGUACAAAGGGCUGCAAUACCGUAAGGUGGAGCGAAUCCCAAAACGCCGGUCUCAGUUCGGA